GCUACAGGCUUAACACAUGCAAGUCGAGGGGCAGCAUUUCAGUUUGCUUGCAAACUGGAGAUGGCGACCGGCGCACGGGUGAGUAACACGUAUCCAACCUGCCGAUAACUCGGGGAUAGCCUUUCGAAAGAAAGAUUAAUACCCGAUGGUAUAAUCAGACCGCAUGGUCUUGUUAUUAAAGAAUUUCGGUUAUCGAUGGGGAUGCGUUCCAUUAGGCAGUUGGUGAGGUAACGGCUCACCAAACCUUCGAUGGAUAGGGGUUCUGAGAGGAAGGUCCCCCACAUUGGAACUGAGACACGGUCCAAACUCCUACGGGAGGCAGCAGUGAGGAAUAUUGGUCAAUGGGCGCAGGCCUGAACCAGCCAAGUAGCGUGAAGGAUGACUGCCCUAUGGGUUGUAAACUUCUUUUAUAUGGGAAUAAAGUUUUCCACGUGUGGAAUUUUGUAUGUACCAUAUGAAUAAGGAUCGGCUAACUCCGUGCCAGCAGCCGCGGUAAUACGGAGGAUCCGAGCGUUAUCCGGAUUUAUUGGGUUUAAAGGGAGCGUAGGUGGACAGUUAAGUCAGUUGUGAAAGUUUGCGGCUCAACCGUAAAAUUGCAGUUGAUACUGGCUGUCUUGAGUACAGUAGAGGUGGGCGGAAUUCGUGGUGUAGCGGUGAAAUGCUUAGAUAUCACGAAGAACUCCGAUUGCGAAGGCAGCUCACUGGACUGCAACUGACACUGAUGCUCGAAAGUGUGGGUAUCAAACAGGAUUAGAUACCCUGGUAGUCCACACAGUAAACGAUGAAUACUCGCUGUUUGCGAUAUACAGUAAGCGGCCAAGCGAAAGCAUUAAGUAUUCCACCUGGGGAGUACGCCGGCAACGGUGAAACUCAAAGGAAUUGACGGGGGCCCGCACAAGCGGAGGAACAUGUGGUUUAAUUCGAUGAUACGCGAGGAACCUUACCCGGGCUUAAAUUGCAUUUGAAUAUAUUGGAAACAGUAUAGCCGUAAGGCAAAUGUGAAGGUGCUGCAUGGUUGUCGUCAGCUCGUGCCGUGAGGUGUCGGCUUAAGUGCCAUAACGAGCGCAACCCUUAUCUUUAGUUACUAACAGGUCAUGCUGAGGACUCUAGAGAGACUGCCGUCGUAAGAUGUGAGGAAGGUGGGGAUGACGUCAAAUCAGCACGGCCCUUACGUCCGGGGCUACACACGUGUUACAAUGGGGGGUACAGAAGGCAGCUACCUGGUGACAGGAUGCUAAUCCCAAAAGCCUCUCUCAGUUCGGAUCGAAGUCUGCAACCCGACUUCGUGAAGCUGGAUUCGCUAGUAAUCGCGCAUCAGCCAUGGCGCGGUGAAUACGUUCCCGGGCCUUGUACACACCGCCCGUCAAGCCAUGAAAGCCGGGGGUACCUGAAGUACGUAAAAGGAAGGAGCGU
rnacentral:rRNA from 1 species